GGUUGAACAGGAUUCUACCCCCAGGGCCAGGCAGGGAGCAAGGGACUGGGUCAGUGGCUGGAGAAAGAAAGAAAAGAAAGUGAAGUCACUCAGUAGUUGUGUCCAACUCUUUGCAACCCCAUGGACUGUAGCCCACCAGGCUCCUCCAUCCAUGGAAUUUUCUAGGCAAGAGUACUGGAGUGGGUUGCCAUUUCCUUCUCCAGGGGAUCUUCCUGACCCAGGGAUCGAACCUGGGUCUCCUGCAUUGCGGGCACACGCUUUACCGUCUGAGCCACCAGGGAAUCCACAGUGGCUGGAGAGGAGUCAGCCAAUUUUGCUUUCAUACUUUUGGACAAUAUGCUGAUAAAUGAAGUCUGGUGGAAUCUAGUCCAGGUUUGUUAUGGUGGCUCUGCAAAUGUCAAGAAUCCAGGCUCUUUCUAUUUCAUUGAGUCACCGAUCUCAAACAUGGCCUCCAACUCAUGGUGCAACACGGCUGCCAGAGCUCCAGCCAUCAUUGCAGCCAGCUAGAAGGGAGUGGUAAAGAGGAGUACCCUCCACACACUCCUGGACUGAUCUCCUGGGUCCCAGCUCCGGGAUGAGUGCACAGCCCUGGACCUGACAUCACCACCUGGCAUGAGCCCGGAUUGGAUUACGCUGAUUGGGUUAGGAGGCCACGAUUCCGCUGGCGGUCCCAAAUGAGAGCAGCUGUGAGUCAGCUCUCUGCCCCCGGUGACCCGUCGGCGUGGCGUGCUCCUGUUGAUGGAGCGGAGGAGGUGUUCUUCUCCCUUCUUAUUUCAUUUUUUUUUUUAAGCCGAAAUCAUAAGCGGCAGGAGAACUGGCAGCUGGCAAGGCGCUCAGCUGAGUUGCAAAUGCAAUUGUGGGAAGUGGCGGCUGGCUGCAGAGCCAAGGAGGAGCUAGCGGCUGGGACCUGGGGGCUGCUCUGACCACGGCGUUUGGACAAGAGGAACGGCUGUGAAGACAACACGCCCUGCGGCUGCUGACAAGGGACAUGGAGGCCCAGAGUCCAGGUGGUGGGCCUCAGCAUUCCCAUCUGAGAAAGGGGUUUGACCCUUUCCCUAGAGGACAAGGAGGGCUGAGAGACACGGGGAAGAGAUGAA